rnacentral:misc_RNA from 1 species
GACAGGCUCGCAGGCGUCCGUCAACACACUAUCGUUUCCGUUGGUCUCGGCUGGAAGCGCAGUCGGCGCGGAGGCCAGCAACACCUGCGCGCGCACACGCACUCCUCCUCUUCGUUCAUCAGUGCUGAUGGACUCGCACGUGCACGCGUAGCGAAACGUGCAGAACGCCUUCAUUGAUGCAUUGGUGAGUGCAGAGCGCCUUCGUUUGGGAAAGGAAGGAGAGAACACCGUUGCAAAACGGCGAAGAUACCCCGGAACCGCCACGCGCACAACACAGGGGCGCGCGCGAACGACGCGUGAAAUGGGAUGUUCCUUAUCAGCUGGAACGUGGCGGGGUGGUCGUCCACCUCGCAGGCGAUUCGAGAGAGCUUUGGCAGCAUCCGUGACUUCUUCGCAUGCACCGAGGCAGACAUAAUUUGUCUUCAGGAGUGCAAAGGCACGCUUGCCAAGCUGAGCGCGUCUCCCGUGGACAUGGGGGCUAGCGAUCCGCCCGUGAGCCGCCGACCCGUUGUCGCCCCCCUAGAGCGGCUGGCGGCUCAAGAGAAACGGCGACGGUUGGCUGGGUCGGUCGAGGGUGAUGCAUCCACCGUCAGCAGUGGCGGUGGUUGCAACGACGGCAUUGACGGCUGGGAGUCGUUCUGGUCCCUUAGCGGCAAGCAGCACCGCGGCUUCAACGGUGUCGUGACGUUUGCGCGGAAGGGCCUCACGUGGCGAUGUGACAGUCAACCCUUUUCAGAGGAUGCGUUCAACGAAGAGGGCCGCGCUGUGGUGACGUACCACAGCGCCUUUGUGCUCGUGAACGUGUACGUGCCAAACGCUCGCGGCGGGGCCCGGCACACCUUCAAGCUCCGUUUCCUGUACGCCUUGGAGAAGAAGAUGGAACAGCUGCGCAAGGACACAGGGAAGCCGGUCAUCCUUGUUGGCGAUCUGAACAUGACGUAUUGCGCGCACGACGCCGCCUGGUCUCUGCGGCGCAUCCACCUGGGCACUCUCCUGCAGUUGCAGACGUUUGCCGAGGUCAAGGGAGACACGGCGUGGACUGCCGCGCUCCCCCAUCUUUCGAAAGCGGCCGUGAAGCGAGUGGCAAACAUGAUCGCCAGUCAUUUGUGUGCACAGGCGCAAGAGAUAGCUGCGUCCAUGGACAGCAGCGCUGCCACGGCUGGGUCGUCUUCUGGCACUGGCGUUGUUUCCGUUGAUACGGAGGUCAACUCGAGUGACAACACGAUCGAUCGAGAAGCGCUGCAGCGACUCUGCACACUUCUCCCGCCGCGAGGCUCAGGCGGAACUGGCAAGGGAGUGCACGAUUACGAAUCACCGCCAGUGUCGCUGCGGGCCCUUUACGACGUCGGCUUUCGCUGCGCGUACGCCUCCGAUUUCGUGAAAAGUUCCCCGUGUCUCCACAACAGUGAACUGUACGCGGUGGUGCAGUUCUGCGGACUAGCCCCGCACUCGGAUGCGUCGGCGGAGUUCAUGGGCCGGCUUCUCCAGCUCCGCCUGCCGGUGUCUUCCUCAGCAAUGCCCCAGCGCUUGCCAUGGACCUCGCCCACAGAUGUGGCGGCUCGUCAAGCAGGGAUUUCGCAAGUACGCAUGUGGGACACUUUUCUGCUCACGAGAGAGAUGAUUGAUGCGUACUCUACCGCUCCGGCGGACUCACCACUGAUUGAUGUGAUGCUGCUGCGCGAGGUGGAGCGCCCAAGGCUGCGGCCCUACUGCCCGUGCCCGUACACGUGCUGGGAUCAGUCACGCAACCGCCGUCUCGAAAACGAGGGCACGCGACUCGACUACAUCCUCGUUGACUCCGCACUGCUCCCUGCGGUGGUGUGCCGCGCAGAGACAGCCAACAAUGUCCUUGUCGGAGUGCCGGAGCGGAGCUCAUCUGCGUCUACUGCGCCGGAGCCAUCGGUGGAUCGAGAGGACUUUUUCAGCGAACUGCAUGGUGCGCGCUACCGGGAUGGCGUGAUGCGUGCGAUGGCCAACGGCGCCUACCCCCCGGCGCCCUUCGAUGGCACCGGGAUGCCGGCGCUGAGUGAGCAAGCGCGAGAGCUGUGCUUUGCCGGCUUGCCCUCUACCGGCCUUUUUGUCACUCCACCGCAGUUCAGCGAUCACAUUGGCGUGGGCCUGCUCCUGGACUUGGCUGCACUCGGCACCGAGAGCGAGCUACUCCAGCGUUCCGGCAAGGUGAUCGAGGACCACAAGUGCAUGUAUCGACCACCCGUCGGGCUGCACACCUUCUUUGCCGCCGCGGCCGCCAAGAAGGCUGUGGUCUCCGUCGCCACGCCGCCUGUGCAGAGAGAGGUGGCUGCCGAUGACAAAGGCGUGCGCGAGGCGGAGGGCAGAGUAGCCGGACACAAGAGAGCUGCUGACAGCUGCGCACCGCUUUCUUCCUUCAGCGCUAGCACGAGCGCGAGGGCCGGGCCAACGGUAGCCGAUUCUCGCACUGAAGACGGUGCCGCCGUUGCUUGUGGCAACGCAGAUCCGUGUAUCAUUGACGUGGAUUCACUGUGAGCAGUGCGGUCGACGGGGCGGGUUGAUGUGUGCUGAUUUUUCUGCUGCCAAUUGUUCUGAUUCGUGGCUGUAAAUGGGGGAGAGGAGGGAGCAGCGCAGCGUCAAGCUACGCGAGCACGAACGCGUGUGCGUUCAGGUGACCAGGGCAGUGGUGGUGGGAGGGCAGGCGCUUCUGCGCACUCUGUUUCUCGUUCGCAUGAUAGUUUCACCUUCUGUGCAAGGCGCAAGCACCACAAACGACGACGGCUAUCUAGACCGUCGACGGCCGUCCGUUGCGUCUGGUGCGCGACACGAAGGCGAGACGCGCAGAAAAGGAGCACAAGAAACCGACG